UAGGCGGGACUUCCUGUGAGUGACGUAAGCACUCCUAGUCAACAGUGGAGGCCCCACCCUUUGUGUUAUCCAGCGCCCGUCAAUCAAAAUACAAAGAAAUCUGACAGUAUCACCUGAUUUUAACGCGAAUGCAAUCGAUAUAAUUUAUUGAAAAUGACUGGUGGCUUGUGACGGCCGGACUCCGUAUAUCCCGACGAGUCACGCAAUGACUGCCCCAGACCAGCCACUGAAGCCUGGGGAUAUGGCUGCCUCAGAAGGGGACAAUAGUCAAAGCGACUUUCUGCAGCAGCAGGAGGAAAGCGGUGGCAGCCAGGCAUCAGAUUCCUCUUCUCAACUCACUGGGACUGAUAAAUGGGAGGUCUUGACACCUACGACUACAAAAGAUGAUUCUGGGUUGAUACAAAUCCAAAGUCAACCAAUAUUAACAUCCAAUGGACAGUAUGUUCUUCCUAUUCAGAAUUUACAAACUCAGCCAAUCUUUGUGACGCCGGGAACAGCCACCUCCAAUGCCAAUACAGUGCCUAACAUUCAGUACCAAGUAAUUCCUCAGAUACAAACAGCGGAUGGACAGCUGAGCUUCUCCUCAACUGGUUUGGAAGGAGCGACUCUGGCGCAGGAUGCCACGGGGCAAAUUCAGAUCUUGUCCGAUGGUGGCCAGAGUAUCAAUGUUACGUCUUCUGAAAACAUCCUUAAUAACAACCAGAGCCUCAUAACACAGACUGGUAAUGUCCAGCACAUCCAGGGGGUUUCUCUUGGCAGCUCCACCUUCAACAACCAGGGUCAGGUUGUUGCUAACGUGCCUGUGGGUUUGCCUGGGAAUAUUACAUUUGUUCCUAUUAACAGUUUGGACUUGGAGUCUUUGGGCCUUUCUGGAGCUCAAACGAUAGCAACGGGGGUCACUGCUGAUGGUCAGCUAAUAAUGGCAGGUUCUUCUUUGGAUGGCUCAGAAAAUCAAGUGAAGACUGAUGUACACCUCUCACAGACAAUGCCAGACACAGAAUCAAAUGCAGAUGCUAACAUUUAUGUGCCAACGUCUUCCUCCGACCUGCACGUUUCAGCAAAUCAAUCAGGUCUACUGACACAGGUUUCUUCAUUGUCAUCUGGGGGGUCAGAACAAAUCAACUCAAGUUCUGUUCUCCAGGAAGGCUUUGUCCAACAGAAUCAGGAGCAGAGCAUUCAAGUGUCCUCAGCCCAGCCCAUCCUGCAGCUGCAGCCAGUUCCGGUCCAGACCACCAAUGGUCAGAUGAUGCAAGCAGUAGCAACAGGUGGGCAAAGCCUGCAAAAUGUGCAGCUAAUAAACCCGGGGACCUUCAUUAUCCAAGCCCAGACAGUCACAUCGUCAGGCCAGAUUCAGUGGCAGACUUUUCAGGUGCAGGGAGUGCAGAACCUGCAGAACCUUCAGCUGCCCACCCAACCGCCGCAGCAGAUCACUCUGGCUCCAGUCCAGACCCUGUCACUGGGAUCCAACAUCAGCACAGGACAGAUUCCCAACCUGCAGACAGUGACAGUUAACUCGGUUUCACAGCAAGAGGGAGACACAGACGUCCCUGGAGGCGGAGACAUUCAUAUAAAGGAAGAACCAGACUCUGGAGACUGGCAGCUGAGCAGUGACUCCACCCUGAACACCAGCGAUCUGUCCCACCUUCGUGUCAGGCUGGUGGAUGAAGAGGAUCAGCAAGGUCAAGAGGGCAAGAGGCUGCGCAGAGUGGCCUGUACCUGCCCCAACUGUAAGGAAUCAGGUGGAAGAGGUUCCAGCAUGGGGAAGAAGAAGCAGCACAUCUGCCACAUAGCAGGCUGUGGGAAAGUAUAUGGGAAGACAUCGCACCUGCGAGCACACCUGCGCUGGCAUUCGGGAGAGCGACCUUUUGUCUGCAGCUGGAUGUUCUGUGGGAAGAGGUUCACACGCAGCGACGAGCUGCAGAGACACCGGAGAACACACACAGGAGAGAAGAAGUUCGUCUGCCCGGAAUGCUCCAAGCGCUUCAUGCGAAGCGACCACCUGGCCAAGCACAUCAAAACUCAUCAGAAUAAAAAAGGCGUGAACUCUGGCAGCUCGGUGGUGGUCCCUGUGGAGUCGGCGGGUUCCUCCGACAGCAUCAUCACGACGGCGGGUGGCACCACCCUCAUCCUCACCAACAUCCAGCAGGGCUCCAGCGCCGCCCAGGACAUCCUGGCCAACGCUGAGAUCCCUCUGCAGCUGACGUCCUGGGCUCAGAACCAUUUUCUUCUCAAGCUAAGAAUGAAUUUCGUCCAGAGGAAAAACUUUUGCCAAUGUCCUGGAGAAUUAUCCUUGUGUGUUCCACUUUCCCUGCCGUGCACCCUUUUUAUUUUUUUUUUAUUGACUAUCUCCAGUGACAUUUUGCAGGGUGACGUGUGACUGUGUGAGUCAACCUUCGGUCUCCUCCAGCUUUCUGGACAAGAGCAGGGUGUUAAGGGAAAAAACUGUAACGAGACGGACCAAAAGCUGAGAUGUAAGAAUCAAGUUAGGACCUCCACAGACCAGUGUUGGUAGUCCAGUAGAUGUCACUGUAGCCAUGGCAGCAGGAGCAGAGGUGUGUUCGUUUGACCUCUGGACCUUCUUCAGGAUGAACAGCUGAGAAGAUGCACAGGAGUCACAGAGGUGAAGAGGAGCCGUGUCCUCUCACUAUUACAGGAAGAGAAUCUAUGAUUCACAGACCUCUGGGACAGUCGGCGUUGACGGUCGUGGAUUCUCCACAUAAGAAGUGUGUCAGGUUUGUAUGUUGUUACUUGAAAUAUUUUUCCAUCCUGCCGCUCAUUUUUGUGUUAUUUCCGACUGUUUACGACUGGCCCGAAGCUUUUAUGAUGCAAAUCACAGCCACAGCUGAGAAUAAUUGUCUGUUGUCAGAGGCAGGAGAACUUUGUCUUGCUUGACGAAGUGCCAGUUCCUCAUAACAGGAGGAGGCUCGGCUUCUUCUGGCCACUGCAGAUAAAAGCUGCCAUCAGUGGGUGAAGCUCAUCAGCAGGUUAAAGGGAGAAGAGAGGGUGGCGUAGCUGCUGCUGCUGCUGCUGCUGCUGCUGCUGCUGCUGCUGCGGAGCGUGACUGUCCACUGUGCCAUUUCAACUGACCACCAAAGAUUAGAGGCCAACUUUGUCAACAAAGUGGUGACGUUCUUUUCUUUGUGAUGUGUGUCAGAUCUGGUCUGGAUCAGACUGAGCAGAGAUCAUAUUGAACCAGGUUAUGUCUUUGGUGUGGACAUUUAUUUUGACAAGUAAGUAUAACCUAAAAACACAUCCUGUGUCUCACAGAACUUAUUAUUAGACCAACUGUCUUGUUUGUGUGUUUUCCGUGCAGUGAACAGCAUCAUUUCUUCUAUCUGUGUCUGAAAAGAAGCAUAAUCGCAUGUGACGCUCAACGUCUUUUCCAAUUCAUGUGCAAAAUGCAUAAAUGCAAUAACUGCUGCAGAGGCACAGGAAGACUGUAAUCAUGCAAUAACAUUUCUGUAUGUGUGAUAGAAUUCCAAACGCCAUUGGGAUUAUGGUUCUUAAGCGUUAGGAGGUAAUGUGAACUGCGGGCAGAAAUUACUUAUUGCAUUAUACUGUCCCAAAUAUCCAAACUGCUUGAGUGAACGAGCUGCUGCUUCUGCUCCGUCCCUGCCCAAUUUCAACUGUUUUCCUCUGUAUUUGAAGGAUAGGCCUGCAAUUUUGCAAAUGACUAUUAUUUGCCUUUCUCAAGGAAGCAACAACUUGAAAGUACAGUGCGAUGAAUUGUUGUGGAUCUGCAGCUGCAUUCAUUUACGAUACGUCUCCCCUGUGAAACAUUUCCCUGAAUUUGGAACGUGAAGCUCUUAUGUAUUUUUCUCAUCGACAUAAAGUCUGUUUUCAUGUCCUUGAUCAACUACAGGAGACAAACAACAGUACGGGUCAUUUUCUCCAGGCGGGAAACACAGCAUGGCUCAAACUCAAUAACCUGAUAUUCUCUGUCUGCUGCUCGUGGACAAUUUAACAAAGGUCACAAAGGCCUUUAUUUUUUAUCCUGGAGACAAUUUACUGACCUCCCUCUGAAGCCUCAGCAGGACCGGUGAAGACAAACACAACGGUUGAGCAGAAAAGACAGAGUCGGUGAUGACAUUGUGUCGAUGUGUGGACGUCUGAAGGUGAAGAGAAACCUGGCGUGGGACGUGUGGAGGUUUGAUAUGGACCUGAUGAUAAUGACACACAGGAUGUGGCCCGUCCUGUAUUUUCUGACUUCAUCAGUGGCGUCAGCUCAGCCUGGCUCUGAUUUCAGAUUGAAUUAUUUUACUUUGCACACAGACACUUUCACCCUUCAUCUAUUUUGAUCUCUUUAAGGCAGUGACCAUCAACAGGCUGGAUUCGACUUCAACAACGUCAGAACAAACUGUGAAAAUUGAGUCUCCCACAAUGAGACAAUGCCAAUGAAAUUUCCAUACCAUGCAGCACCUUUGCCCUCCUUCACAGCAUGUGUCUGUUUUUAGCGAGGAGCCAAUUGUAUAUGAUUAUGCUGCGGAUCUAUGAGAAGAUGAGGAUGGAUCAGUCAUAUAGUUUCCCCCCACUCUACAAAAUAACUCUGUCUUUUAUUGUGCACCUCAAGGUCAAACAUGACAACUGCUUCAAAUUCCUGCCACUGGAGACGAGAGGUGAAGAAAGAAAAGGAAGAAGAAAAAAAAAAACAGCAAGGUGAUCUCUGCGUAUUUUCUGUCAGUGACAAGAGCUGGCCUCCAGUGUUACUCAGCCCAUUGAAAAACCAUUUCAGACAUGAAAGGGGAUGUUUUGUAUCAGAAAAAUGUACAUUACAUUGUGUCAACAACAUCCUGGAGGUCAGAGAAGAGUCUCCCCGCGCCGAGUGAAUCCGGCUGCUGCUGCUCCGGGAGACUCGCCACCCCCUCUGAGUGGCGGCUCAGUGAUGGCUCUCACUUUCCCUCGUAAUGUCCCUGGCAGCUUUGACACAGGGAGCAAAACAAGGACUCAGAGCCGCCACUGGGCACCGGGCUCUUUCCAGGGCUUUCAGCCUUCAAGAGGGACUGAAGUCUGCCUUUAAGAUGACUGCUGGAUGUGCCUCUCCGUCUCCUCCCCUGAGAAGGAUUAAGGCGUAGAAGAAGAAUGAACGAACAAGGAUUACAGUCCACCUCCAUGUUUCACUGUAGAUGCACAACAUUCUGGGAUCAAAAUCUGUUCAGAUUUAUGGGCGGGCCUGGGCAUGGACGGCCCACGGGCCUCAUCCGGACCUCAUCUUGAAUCAACCGAGGCCUUGAUUUCAGCCUUCCAAUGAUCAUGAAAUUGAGCCAAUCGACGUGCAUAUCUCAGAUGUCUGGUCCAACUCAUCGCAGACAAGGAGUCAACACAAGAGGAGAGAGCGGAGCCACGGGUUUGUUAAAGCUCAGGGGACAACACAGACGAUCAGAAGCUCACGUGCAAAUGUGUCAGUGAGAGCCUGACUUUAAAUCAUCUGACCCAGAGAAGACUGAACCUGGAUCAGAGGUAAGGUGAAAGUGAUGGAGCAGAUUCUUAAAAACACACAGCCUGACUGGCGAAGCCUGAGGUAUUAACAUGAUGUGAUGUGUGAAAUCCAGACGGUGGCUUCUGUCCCCAGAGGACACCCGCAUCAGAUUCUCGGACGGUGCUCAUUAGUCAACGUGCUCUUCACCUCCGUCGUCACAUUCAUCACGGCGACACGGAGAACUUACUUGUACAGGAGCAUUAGACGCUCAUUAAUAACAUGCUACUACAUUUAUCUUGCUGGACGGAAAUUAAUCUCCUUUCUGUGCAGUUCACUCCUUCAUCCAGUCGUCAAAAAACAUAUCCUUUUAUCUUGGUUUUAGCUUUUAGCUUUGUUUGAGUACAAUCGAAUUCAGAACAACGAUAAUCCUCGAUAUCUCCCCAAGUCCGCACGAACGAACAAGGGUUUUGUGCAUUUUGUGAAAAGAAUAAAAACAAAAGUGCUUUUAUUAAUUGGCUGCAUUUCAACGCUGAUAUGUGAAACACUGUGAUUUAAAAACCAGGAUGUCCUUUGAUGAAAAGAGAAAUAAAAGACUAAAGUGAGGCUUUAAAUGAACAAGGUGAUUAAGAGCCACUUUGUUAGACAUUUAUGUAGCAGGACUGCACCUAAUGAAUAAAGAUUCAUACCGCAGGUCCCAAAUUUAAAUUUUUUACACAAAAUGUGCCGGAUGUCGGCAGCUUUUAAUCACCUCACUGACAGGAGUAACUGCUUUCAUUUAACCUUGAGUGAAGAUCAUGAAUUCUAAAGCGUUUAAUUGGAUACAUCAUUUAACAGAAUGAACAGAGCAAAUUUUCACCAAUUCAAAGGCUGGGAUUGACAGACAGUGGCAGUAAGACCCACCACAAUUAAAGCUGAUCUGUAUUCACUGGCCCUGUCACCCACUGCUAUUAGUGAUGUGACUGUUUGAUCAUCUCCGCACUGAAACUUUGCUGAACUUCACCUUGUUUUGAAAGGACUCCAGGGUGAAUGAAAGGCAGCGUAGGUUGAGUAGGUUGAUACGCUCUGAGGGCUAUAGACACAUGCACAGCCACGUUCAGGCGCCCUUUACACACGUAUACCGGUACAUAUGGCUAACGGCGACCAAUUUUUCAAUAAUCUUUUGUGGGGUCAAUGAUUGAACAAAAUUUGCAUCCAUUAAAAAAAAGUGAUGUAAGAAAAAGUGAUUAAUUUUUCAAAAAUAUCCAAGAUCUAAAUUGACUAUAGCCUAGCUAGGGAGCAAAAUGCCUUGUUUUUUUAAUAUAAUUAAUUAUAUUAUAUUAAUUAUAAUCAUGUGUUAUCCAGCAGACACUCAACAUGUGUAUGAUUAUAAUAUAGAGGAGUAUUAACUUUAAGUGGACCAACAUCAAAAGCAAAUUCUGGCUGUUGGAAAAUUGGUUGGAAACUAGUAGGAGUAUUAGCCAUAAUAAGCUAACAAUUUCAUAAUAAUAGUUAAAUAAUACCGCACAUUGUAUUCUCUUGAUAAAUUGGUUGAUUAUUACCAAGAGGAUACCGACAAUCUACAAGGUUAACUUGUAGCUUUAGCUUGUCCAACCGGCUAACCUUUAGCCCAAAAUAACUACAAGUUAGCCAAAAAUAAAGCUUAACAUUAAUGAAAGGAUAAAUAAAAAACACAAUAAACAAAAUACUUGAAAAGAAUACUAAAUGCCGCUAUUUUAAACAUAGCAAAACUGUUUAUCAUUAAGUAAAGUAGACAUAAGAUUGCUGGAAAAGUCUCUGUUAAAAGAGAUAUUUUAUCUCAACUGUUAAUGUACACGGCAGUGUCACACUGUAUGUAUAAACUGAUACAGUGUUAAGUUUUAAACACACACACCCCAGAGGGCAGAUGUACUUCCUGUAAAAAUAACAGCAAACAUCCUGUAAAUGGACUCGACAGCUCAACUUUCACAUUAUUAUGUUUGUUCUCCAUCAGUGGCGAAAUUGAAAUGUUUCAAAAUCCUGAAAUAACGCCGUCUCUCUGAGACAGUGGAUGUAAUGACAUUGUCUCGUCAGUCGCUCUCUGCAGACAAUUGCCCCAGUGAUGUGAAGAACUGUGUCAAGUGGUACACAGUGAAACACGGGAAUGAAGUGUCUCCCGCACAUUUAAUUGUUUUGCUACUUUGACUUCACAGAGAGCGAAUAUUCAAUCUGCGUGCCAGACAUUUCCUCUGUGACUAAGCCCAACCAGCCAAAGUAUGUUUGGUUAAGCAACCGGCCCCAGGGUUAAAUCUCAUAUUUGGCAAUUACAUUUUUUUUCAUAGCACAUAAAUGCAACACGUUAUUUAAAUGAGAUUAUAUAGCUUUGGGAUGUUUCUGUUAACCAGAUCCAUGUACUUGUUCUCAAAGUGAGGAGCGGGGAACCCUCUGGGCCUGAUGGAGUGCCCUGGGGGCCCCCAAGAAAAAAUGAAAUGUAGAUUAAUUUUUCUUAUUUCUAACUAGCAAUUUUACUCAAUUAAAAUAAUUAGGAAGUUUUCAGGUCAUCACCCAGACAUCUCUAUACUGAAUAGGAAACAUAAUGUAAAGAAAGCAAAAAUAAGAAGAAUUUAGGACAAAACAUAAUUCAAAUGUUGUUGAAUUAAAAUGCAAUAUGUAGAAAAAGAUUGCAAAAAAAUAUGAUGUCAGAAAAAUAUAUAUACAUAUGUAAUAAAAAUGGAAGCAUUGUUAGCUAAACAAUGUGUUACAGAAACAGGCAGAAACUACAUUUUAACAUUUGUGUUAAAAUAACACAAAAAUAUAACAACAGAAGCAAAAUCUAGUUAACAGGAGCAAAAUUAAUGUAGAAAAAGAACAUUUUUCGAAUGUUAGCCAAAUGGUUAGCUGUUAAAUGGGAAGAUAAUAGCCAAAAAAGAUAAGAAAUUAAAAUAUAAUAAAGACAAGGUAAACAACAAUAAUAAAAAAGAUUGAUACAAAUAAGUAAGGCCUGAACGCUAGCACAGACGAUGCUAAUACAAUGUUUUGAUAUAAUGACAAAAAAUGGCCUCAUCUUGGCCAUAAAUAGCUGUUAGUAAUAAUAAUAUGAGUGAAAAGUGAAUUUGCAUAAAAUCAAAGCAUCAACAGCUCCAGACACAUCUCAGAUCGAAUGCUUUCAUUUUAUCCUCUCGGGAGGGGAAAAAAAUAUUGUUUUCCAACUAGUGCGAUGCACACUGGUCUGUUCCAGCUGGAGAUGAUCAGCACUGACAUUUUGGAACAGAAGAAAAGCGUGUUCAAGGAAAUGCAGAUUGAGGAGAACAAAUCCAAUCCACUCAAGUGUUGUUCAUUCUGCCCCAACGCAAUACAAACCAUGUGUGUUGCUUUUAAGUGGUGAAAAUAAUGGUAAGAUUACAGAGUGGUCCCUGGUGUUAAUUGUCUAAGAGCUGUUUUUCUUUGGCUCCCAUUAAUUCUGCUUUUUAGGAGAUUGGCCCUGGAUGUUUUAACUGGAUUUUGUGAACUGUUAGCUUUGGGAGACACUGUUUGAUGGCAGACGUAAUGAGGGAAUCAUCAUUUCAACAUGUGUGGUGAGACGGAGCUGGCAAAUGUUUGCCGGGACAGCUGUCCUGACAGAUUUGAAAUGUUAAGAAGUUUGUGCAGCCUUGGAGAGAGAAGCACUCACUGCUGCCUUCUCUUCUCAGGCUCAGUCUGACGAGGAACGAAUGUUGCAUUCAGGAAUCCUGUGUUACAUCAUUACCUGCUCAACAAACAUUUAUCUCACAAGCAGGAAAAAAUCUGCUGGAAAUGUUUUUUUCCUCACCUUUGCCAAAAUCUGUGCUCAGUGUGUGACGUCGUUGGCUUUCAAUAUUUGUUAAACGUGUCUGCUCUAUUUUGUAUUGUUAAUAUAAACUCAAUAUGACAGUAAUAGUUAAUACAUUGUCAUUUUUCAUUUUUAGGAGGAUAAAUCUUUUUUUUUUUUUACCUGAACAUUUUCUGUCAGAAAUUAAAUGCAACAUUCGUCUGCUUCAUGUGGGAUUUUGCACUCACUCUCUGUAGAGAAGAGUCUAUAUAUGUGGUGGUGAAUCAUAUACUGUAUGUUACAGCAAAUGUAAAUGUGCUGUAUCUGAACUAUUGAGAUUAUAAAUUCCAGUUUAAAACCCUUAAGAAGAAAAAACAACUGUGAGGAAAGAGUAAAUAGUAAAGCAUGAAGUAAUUUUUUUAAGAUUGUUAGAGAGAAAAAGGCUUUAAAAAGUUUGAAAAUGUAGGUUUUUUAGGGCAAUUAUAAGUAAAAUCAGUUACUAUCUUACAGAUUUUAGUUUUUGAUCCUAAAAUGGUGGUUUAUAACCAAAGUCUUCUUCAGUCAUCUCUCUCUCUCUCUCUCUCUCUGUUGACUCUGUCUUUGUGAUAAAUGUUGACUGGAGGGUUAGGUUUUAUUCUCUCUGACACUGUUUAUCACUCUUCAGCACCUGACCUUGUGCAUGAAUACACACUGGGGUAAGGUGACGUGUGUUUCAUGUCAUACUGAUUCUGUUUGGACAGCGUCACACUCAGUGUGUCCACUUUAGCCAUAAGUUGCACGCUGCUCCUCUGUUCCCCCAAACUCACGGCCGGCGAUGAAUCGUGCGUGUGGUGAGACUCUGAAGGAGAGCGUUAAUGAAGUAAAAAUUAAUGAAGCACAUGAGCAGCACCAUCUAAAGGCUGUAAGCCCCUCCAUGCCCCAUUUAUAAUGUAUGAACUCAAUAAAAUCAAUCCAAUGUACCAGGUCUCACUUACAGGGUAAGAAUAGAUUUACUGAUUACAGCCCUGUGCUCCCCCGCUCAUAAUUACCCCCCACUGCCACCGCACCUUCUUACCCCACAGUCAGAAAGAGGACUGCUGGACACAACUAGAGAACAAUGUGAAGAGUUUGUGAAAACGGCAGCCACUGUGGCCUCAAAACCACUGUGGACAUAAGACAUCUUUUUUUUUACCUUUUAUUUACAUGAAAUUCAACAGGAGACGUGCAGUGGAGCUCUGUCACUUUUCUCCCUCAACCUUUAGGACUAUCUAAAAGUUUUAGAGUCCAGGCUGCAGCAGCUCUCCUGUAUUAGAGCUCCCCCUUCAGAUCUUACCAAACACUACGAACGACGAGAUUAAAGCCUCCCUGAUGGGAUUGUUUAUUUACUGGAAUUUAAAUAGCAUUAUUCCGAAGAUAAUGGAUGGAUGUUAAGUAAUUAUUUGAAAAUAUUUUAAACAACAGUGAUAAGUGCCCUCCUACAAUAUAAAAGAAAAUAAAUAAAAAUAAAUCAUGUAUAUAUAGUGUUAUGUCAAUUCCUCUAAAUAUUUUUUAUUCACAUUUCUUAGUGAGUGGUUUAGAGUGGUGGGUGGUGUGAUGUGCCAUUAUUUUUCUAUGUCUCGUAGGGUUCCCGAAAUUUCUCAAGGGCUGCUGGUUCAUCAUGCAAAGAUAUUUAUAUUCUAUUUUCCUUUAUCUUAUCCUACUAGUUUCAUAUAGGAGACAUUUUGUUGCUGAAAAAUAAAUAAUCCAACAUGUCUUAAACUUAAUCUUUAAGCAAGAUUUUUUUUUAAUUAUAUGUACAAGAGCCUAUGAGCAUUUAAAAAAAAUAGGACAAUUUGUGUAAAAAAUGAACUAAUGCAGUUACUGUAACAGUGUUUCAUGAUCAGCUUUGUGACUAUGUCUUGAAUCCAAAACUGUCUUUAAUAAAACUGAGCAAAAUGCUCUGAUUCUGUUUGCCCUGAAGCUGCCGUCCAAAUGUCCACAAUCACUGUUUUACUCAAUUGAUAACAAUUCUGUUUUAGCUAAACCUAUACAGACAGGGGACUUACAUAUGGAAAAAAGAACAAGAACUGUGGAGCUCAGCUUCCUGAUGUGCCUCCACCUCCACCUCUUCGAACAAUUCUGUAUUUAUAAUGUCAUCUUAUCAAGCUCCCCUUGAAGGCAGCAGCAAGUGCACUUAUGCCUGCCUUUGUUAGGGUGAGUUGGCAAUUUCCUGGGAGAUGGAGCUACUGCAGGCAGCCCCUUUUCUUUGAUAAUGUCCCUGACACCUGGACCAGACUGCUGUUUCCAUCACUUUGCAGGCAGGAAUAGGAGGAAAGGAACAUGUCAUACAGUUGCUGCCACCCGGAGUCACUCAGUGUGCAUUUAACAGCACUCUCCUCCACACACUCCUGCAGGGUGUGGAGGUCAGAGAGCCAGGGGAGAAAUUCUUGAGUGGACAGUUGUUUUAAACUGUGUCAGAAAUGUUCUGUUUACUGCAAUUUAACAAUAAAAAACCUACUGUUCAUUUUCUUUUUAAAUAUGUAUAUAUAAAUUAACUUUUAUUGUGGUACCGGAGUGCUUUCAUACACACUGUUUAAAGCUGGUUAAUAAGCACAAUAGCCUGAAAGGCUGUUUAUUGCAGAGACUUGACAGGCUGAUUGUGAAUUAUAAUUAAUCAGUUGAUUUUGACCCACAGAUUGUGAUUGUGCCCUGUGAGUUUCAUUUACUCCAGCUUUUCUUUCUGGCACGGCUACAAUCACCGCAGACCUGCAGGACUCUUCAGGCAAAUUAGCAGCCUUCAUGCUACCCUGCAGCCAUAAUGAAAAUAUCAGUCAAUCAAAGACUAAACUAUGCUGGGAAAUCCAGGCACAUAUCUUCAGAGCUGCGAGUAGAAACAGCAGAGUGAAUGUCAGACACGUCUCAGCUUUUGUGACUGUGCAGUGCAGUAGGUAAUAUUAAAAUAAAGUCUUGUAGAUUCUCUGCUGUGUUCACUGUAAUAAAACUGAUAAAAUGCACUAAGGACUCUAUAAAAGUGCAGGUUGGAGAGCAAAGCAUUCUGGGAUAUGUGGGGGCCAUCUGCAACCUGUCUGCAGGACC